rnacentral:rRNA from 1 species
CAGUCGCCGCGGGAAUACGUAGGUCCCGAGCGUUGUCCGGAUUUAUUGGGCGUAAAGCGAGCGCAGGCGGUUAGAUAAGUCUGAAGUUAAAGGCUGUGGCUUAACCAUAGUAUGCUUUGGAAACUGUUUAACUUGAGUGCAGAAGGGGAGAGUGGAAUUCCAUGUGUAGCGGUGAAAUGCGUAGAUAUAUGGAGGAACACCGGUGGCGAAAGCGGCUCUCUGGUCUGUAACUGACGCUGAGGCUCGAAAGCGUGGGGAGCAAACAGGAUUAGAUACCCGAGUAGUCCCUGUCUUUAUACAC